rnacentral:rRNA from 1 species
UUGAACGCUGGCGGCAUGCUUUACACAUGCAAGUCGAGCGGCAGCACAGGGAGCUUGCUCCUGGGUGGCGAGUGGCGAACGGGUGAGUAAUGUAUCGGAACGUGCCUGGUAGUGGGGGAUAACUACUCGAAAGAGUGGCUAAUACCGCAUGAGAUCUUUGGAUGAAAGCGGGGGACCUUCGGGCCUCGUGCUACUGGAGCGGCCGAUAUCAGAUUAGGUUGUUGGUGGGGUAAAGGCCUACCAAGCCUGCGAUCUGUAGCUGGUCUGAGAGGACGACCAGCCACACUGGGACUGAGACACGGCCCAGACUCCUACGGGAGGCAGCAGUGGGGAAUUUUGGACAAUGGGCGCAAGCCUGAUCCAGCAAUGCCGCGUGCAGGACGAAGGCCUUCGGGUUGUAAACUGCUUUUGUACAGAACGAAAAGUCUCUGGCUAAUAUCUAGAGAUCAUGACGGUACUGUAAGAAUAAGCACCGGCUAACUACGUG